rnacentral:sRNA from 1 species
GAAAACUUUUAUUAUUUGGAAGGAGAAAGAUAUGCUCUCCUUUGUGGCAACAGGACAGAUGCUGGUCAGUGUCCUGAAGGAUAUGUGUGUGUAAAAGCUGGCAUAAAUCCUGAUCAAGGCUUCACAAAUUUUGACAGUUUUGGCUGGGCCUUAUUUGCCCUAUUUCGGUUAAUGGCUCAGGAUUACCCUGAAGUACUUUAUCACCAGGUAAGAACAGAGAGAAUCUGUACUGUACUUAGGAAUGGCACCAUGCCCUCGCUUCUAAGAUAAUGGUCAAAUGUAAUAUAGUUUUUUAAAUUUUUAUGUGCAGAAGAAUUGGAAGACAAAAGAAAAGAGAACUAGAAUUACUGAAUGUCAAAUUAUAUGCUGGCCACAUUGCCAUGUGUAUUAUAUCUUAUUUAAUCUUUGAAACAAUUCUACAAGGUCAGAGAGAGAGAGAGUAUGUAUUUGUGUGUGUGUGUGUGUUUUUUGUUUGUUUUUUUUUUUUUUGAGACGGAGUCUCGCUCUGUCGCCCAGGCUGGAGUGCAGUAGCACAGGCUGGAGUGCAGUAGCACAAUCUCAGCUCACUGCAAGCUCUGCCUCCCGGGUUCACGGCAUUCACCUGCCUCAGCCUCCCGAGUAGCUGGGACUACAGGCGCCUGCCACCUCGCCCGGCUAAUUUUUUGUAUUUUCAGUAGAGACGGGGUUUCACCGUAUUAGCCAGGAUGGUCUUGAUCUUCUGAUCUCGUGAUCCACCCGCCUCGGCCUCCCAAAGAGCUGGGAUUAAAGGUGUGAGCCACCUCGCCCGGCUGUGUGUGUGCUUUUUAUAUGAAGACACUAAGAUUUGGAGAGGUCGAGUAGC